rnacentral:lncRNA from 1 species
UUGGGGCAGAAUGAGCAGUUAUUAUAUUUGCAUUGCGGCAUUAUGAUUGUAUUAUUUAGACAGCAAGACGGCCAUCUUGGUUAGUGAGGGUAUUUAAGCGUCAUCUUGUACUGGAUCUUGUUCUCUGCGAGCCUGCAUCACCGAUCUGGUUGUGAUGUCAUACCACAUGAGGGAGUCCUUAUACGGUCCUGCCUUCAGAGUGGUUUAACCAACACAGGGAGCGGUCGGUAUGAUAUCCGCACGGUGAACUUGAUCCUAUCAGACACUUUUGAAGCCCUUUGAGACCUUGUGUGUGGAAUGAUGAAUAGUUAUUAAAGAGUGUAUCAGACACUUCUGGGCAGCAUCUACACAUCUUUCCCCUCCUUGAGAAUGAGAGGGUCUAUGAAUCUGCGUCUAGGAAAGACCACGCUGCCUCUCAUCCAAAGAGACAACAGCCCCCUGGGACCGGAAAUACACAGCUCCUAUAAAAGCAGAGAAUAAACACUGAGUGGACGUAGAAACAAGGAGUUGUGUUUGUGUCCAGGUCUCCAGUCUACUAUGGAUGAGGAGAGAGAGGACGGGGGUCCUACCUCUAAGACCACUCUGUCUGGGGAACAUGGCUGCCGGAGCAGAGCUAAGAGCCCAGAGCAGCAGCAGAGAGCAGACUCCCCUGGACCCAGCUGUGUCUCCAUGAAGAGUGACCACUCUAUGGGUGUACCUGAUAACUUUAAAGAUGGACGGCCCUCCAGAGAGGAGAGGUAGGAGUUUCAAACAGACGAUAAAAGAGACAAGUUGGUUGUUAUCAGACCUUACUGAUACUGAUGUUUAGUCUGGAAAAAUGUGUGUGUGUGUGUGUGUGUGCGUGUGCGUGUGCGUGUGUGUGCGUGCGUGCGUGUGUGUGUGUGUGUGUGUUCUCCACAGACACCAGGAGAGGCCAAUGGUUACCAGUGCUCAGUCUGUACAGCAGCAUCAAACAGAGCUGGAGAUGAACCAGGAGGAACUGGCAGACACACUGUGGGGCGGUAAGAGACUCUUACUUUGAAGACACAGGAGACUAUUAUUUUGAAGGGCAGAAGAGACUCUUACUUUGAAGACAGGUGUUUCGGCAGCUUGUCCUACCUUCUUUCAAGACGCCGCGCGAGCCCAGGCGAGGGGGUAUUUCAGACACACAAUCCAGUUCAAUCAAACAUAAUCUAAUUACAACGAAAAUAGGAUCUCUUGUCCUUCUAACUAUAACAAAAAAUAUAUUUUCCAAGGUGUACGCGGGUUUCAGUGUAAAUGCAAACGAAAAGGUUAUAUUCCGGCAUGUAUCUUUGUACAUAAUUCACAUCGGCAAUUCUUAUUCGUGUUCGUAUUCUAGUUUGUAUUUGUGGUCAAAACAUUUCUCCCGACUGUGGCUGGUGUUUUCCUAAUGCGGUCCCCUAACUGGCCUCACAUCCUGUCUACCUACAUUGAGUUCCAGGAGGCAUCUCAAACCAACAUAAAAGUGCCAGCAGGGGGAGGUCAUUUUCAAUAAAGUAAAACUAAGAAUAAAUUGGCCCUAACAACAAGAGAAAUUGUAAUUUUAGAAAAACAAUAUGACACUCUUAUGUGUUAUUUUCAGACUAAUUGACUUUUAACUUCAAUGUGGAGAUAUUUUUCCUCUUGGGGGUUAAACGGUUUGAUCCAGAUACAGUAUGUAGGGUUAUUGUGGUG